rnacentral:rRNA from 1 species
GGGAUAAGCCUGGGAAACUGGGUCUAAUACUGGAUAGGACCAUGCUGUAGGUGGUGUGGUGGAAAGAUUAGUUUCGGUAAGGGAUGAGCUCGCGGCCUAUCAGCUUGUUGGUGGGGUAAUGGCCUACCAAGGCGUCGACGGGUAGCCGGCCUGAGAGGGUGGACGGCCACAUUGGGACUGAGAUACGGCCCAG